rnacentral:lncRNA from 1 species
AAGAAAAACAAGCAAUUAUUGUUUAAAAAGAGAACACGAUAAUUAGUCAUGCAAGUAAAUUUUCCUGGUGUUCAGUCUUCCCUAUGGUGUUAAAUGCUUUUCAUUAAAGGAGUUUUCAGUAACAUCACAAAUUCAAUAUUUAGUUGUUUAUUUACUGAGUGUCUACGGUGCACUAAACUCUGAUAGGUAGAGAGUACAGAGAUGAUUGAGAUGUGUUCUUUGAGUUGCAUAGAGGUCAGUUUAGUCAAGAAGGCAAGAAAUCAAUUAUGUUUCAGCACUGGUAAGUGCUGUUAACAGUGGUGAAUGCUAUUCGAGUACAGAGAAAUAAUAUCUAAUUCAGCCUGUGGAGGUGAAAACUCCACUUUAAACAGGUAACCCUUGAGCGGACGAGAUCUAGAGGUGUAGCUAAGAAGAAAAGUAGUGAAAAAAGAAAAAAGAGCACUUCAAAUAUAAGGUAUGGCCUUCGUUCUGUGUCAUUACUAUGGGGUUUGGAUUUUAUCGUAAAAGUAAUGGAAAACUAAAAUUACUACAAAAAACUACAGAAUAAACAUUUUAUAGAGAAAUAUUCAGGCUUUGAUCUGUUAAUACAUAUCACUUCCUUCCCUAAGCCUGAGUUUUAAGAAGGUAUUAACCUAAUUCACCCUGAUGUGAACUGGUAAAUCUCACUGUCAACUGUUUUAGCAGCAGGAUGGAAGGAGCUGUGCUGCUGAGGACAGGAACUGGGAGCCUUUGACUACCAGAAGAAAGGAUACAAACCUAAAGAAACUAAGUUAUUUGUUAGUUUGGAUGCCAAAACUUAGACCAUCCACCUUCUAGUAUCAGGUUCUCUUUCUCUCUUGCCAUAUACUACUUGUGUGGCCUUGCACAAAUCCGUCCCUCUAAGCCUCAUCUUUCUAAUAUGUAAGUAUAAAGUCUACACUACAGGUUGUAAUAAGUAUUACAAACUAGUUAUCCCUCAGUAUCUGUGGGGGACUGAUUCCAAGACCCUCCACCUCUCUGUCCUGGCAGCUAACGAAGCCCAAGAUGCUCAAGUCCCGUAUAGAAAAUGACAUAGUAUCUGCAUAAAAUCUAUGCAUGCCCCCCUGUAUGCCGUAAAUCAUCUCUAGAUUACUUGUAAUACCUAAUACAAUGUGAAUGCUAUGUACAUAGUUGUUAUACUGUAUCUUUUUAUUGUAUUUUUUCGACCCAUGGUUGGUAGAGUCCACUGAUGCAGAACCCAUGAAUAGAAAGGGCUGACAGUAUAUGUAAAUCACUAAAUCACACUGCCCACUGAUACAUAAAAAGUGCUUGAGAGAUGUUAGCUAUGAUUAUAUUAAACCUGCAAAUGUCAUUUUAAUGGCUCAAGUUUCACACAAAAUACAACUUGCUCUUAUUAGCAAAAAUCCAAUCUGAUUUUUGAUAGCUUACAAAAUGUUACAAUGUUAUGAAGACAUGGCGAUUGUGUGUAUACUUAAAUUUCCCUGGGGAAGAGCCAGACUUUGGGUUACAGGGACUAUUUAGUCACCUAAAUAUCAACCAUUAUCCACUCCCAGUAGAACAGUAUGUUAAUCACUCAGCUUAUCAGAUAUUCGCACAAAGAGAACAGGAGACACUUUGGUUAGUAAAUAAAUAUUGUACUAAACUUUCUUUAAACCUUGAGAAUGUCAAAAUUUGCCUAACUUCUUCCAAUUAUACAGGGAUUACUAAAAA